rnacentral:rRNA from 1 species
UACGAAGGGAGCUAGCGUUGUUCGGAAUCACUGGGCGUAAAGCGCACGUAGGCGGAUGUGUCAGUCAGGGGUGAAAUCCCGGAGCUCAACUUCGGAACUGCCUCUGAUACAGCACGUCUUGAGUCCGAUAGAGGUGGGUGGAAUUCCUAGUGUAGAGGUGAAAUUCGUAGAUAUUAGGAAGAACACCAGUGGCGAAGGCGGCUCACUGGCCCGGUACUGACGCUGAGGCGCGAAAGCGUGGGGAGCAAACAGG